AAGAGUUGCAGUUUCACUCAUGUCUUGUUCCACAACCAAGGCACUCUCUCGAGUCCACCAUGAAUUCUCAAAGUUCAGACCUUUUCCUCUUCUGGGUUCCUAUCAUUUUUCCUCAAAAGGCUCAAGACUAGAUGAUACAGGCAAAAACCAAGCACAAUUCUAUGAAUUGGAGAAGAGCAUAUAUACAUUUUUAACCAUAGACCGUUGGGAGUCCUUGAACCACAUGGAUUACAAGUUAGCUUCUUUGAGGCAAGUUCAUGGAAGGCUAGCUUUGAAAUUUCUCAACUUUGUUGUCAAGCAACCUGGUUUGGAACUCAAUCAUCUUACUCAUAUGUUUUCAAUAACUACUCAUGUGCUUGUUAGAGCUAGAAUGUAUGACUAUGCUAAAUCGAUGUUGAGGCAGGUAUGUAAGAUGGGUGUUGGCCCAAGGUCUGUUUUUGGUGCUUUGAUGGAUACAUACCCUCUUUGCAAUUCAAACCCUUCAGUUUUCGAUCUACUAAUAAGGGUUUAUUUGAGAGAUGGAAUGAUCGAUGAUGCUUUGGAGACUUUUAAUUUGAUGUGUUCUCGAAAAUUUAAGCCAUCCGUUUAUACUUGUAAUAUGAUGUUAGGUUCCAUGGUGAAAGAUACAAGAGUUGGGUCGGUUUGGUCAUUCUUCAAGGAAAUGCUUGGCUGGAGGAUUUUUCCUAAUACCGCUACUUUUAAUAUACUGAUCAAUGUUUUGUGUGUCGAAGGGAAGCUUAAGAAAGCCCGUUAUUUGUUGAGAAAGAUGGAAGACAAUGGUUAUGUUCCAACUAUAGCUACUUACAAUACUUUGCUCAAUUGGUUUUGCAAGAAGGGGAGAUAUAAAUUAGCCUUUGAGCUGAUUGAUCAGAUGCAGUCCAAGGGUAUUGAAGCAGAUGUUUGUACAUAUAAUAUGCUUAUUCACGAUCUGUGUAGAAACAACAGAAGUGCGAAAGCUUACUUACUGUUAAAAAAGAUAAGAAAGAGAAGCAUAUCUCCCAAUGAGGUUACCUAUAACACUCUUAUUAACGGGUUUGUCAAGGAGGGAAAGAUUGGAAUUGCUACUCGGGUUUUUGAUGAGAUGUCAAAUUUUAAUAUUUCGCCAAAUCUGGCUUCUUACAAUGCUUUGAUUGAAGGGCAUUCUCAUGAGGGUAAUUUUGAAGAAGCUUUAAGACUUAUGGAUAUGAUGGAACAAGUGGGAUCUCAACCUAAUGAAGUCAGUUAUGGAGCCCUUUUAAAUGGGUUGUGCAAGCAUGCCAAAUUUGACCUAGCAAGAAGAAUUUUUGAGAGAAUGAGAACAAAUGGGAUGGGUUUCAGUUGUGUACUAUACACUGAGAUGAUUGAUGGACUAUGCAAAAACGGGUUUUUGAAAGAAGCUAUACAGAUGCUUCAUAAGAUGUCUGAGGAGGGUGUGGCUCCUGGUAUUAUCACAUUUUCUGUGCUUAUAAAUGGAUUUUAUGGGGCUGGAAAGAUAAAAAAUGGGAAGGAAGUUAUAUGUAAAAUGUAUAGAGCUGGAUUUACACCUAACAAUGUCAUUUACUCCACAUUAAUCUACAAUUUUUGUAAGAUGGGAUGCAUCACAGAAGCAUUGAAAAUUUACAGAAUUAUGAAUUGCAGUGGCCAAUCUGCUGAUCAUUUUAUUUGUAACAUUUUGGUUGCUUCUCUUUGUAGAGAUGGAAAAGCAAGAGAGGCUGAGGAUUUCAUGCGUCACAUGAGUAGGAUUGGUCCUAACCCUAACUCCGUUACAUUUGAUUGUCUUAUAAGUGGCUAUGGAAAUUUGGGUGAUGGGCUGAAAGCAUUUUCUUUGUUUGAUGAGAUGGUUCUAUUAGGUAAUAGUCCCAGUUUUUUCACAUAUGGCAGCCUACUUAAAGGACUAUGCAAGGGUGGAAAUCUGGUAGAGGCAAAGAAAUUUUUGGGCAAGCUGCACUACAUUCCUUCUGCUGUGGAUAAUGUUGUCUACAACACUAUACUUGCCGAGUCCUGCAAAUCAGGGACUAUGUGGGAGUCAGUGGUUCUUUUUGAUGAGAUGGUUCAGUUUGGUCUUCUUCCUGAUAGUUACACGUAUAACAGCCUUAUCAAUGGGUUAUGUAGAAAGGGAAAAAUUGCUGCUGCCCUUCUAUUUUUGGGGAAACUGAUGGGGCAAGGAGCUUUUUCCCCAAAUCUGGUUACAUACACCUGUUUAGUUGAUGGUCUUUUCAAGGCUGGCCAAUCAAGGGCUGCUUUUUAUUUUUAUGAAGAGAUGGAGCAGAAAGGCCCAUAUCUUGAUGUUCUUGCUUUUAAUGUUGCUAUAGAUGGAACAUCAAGGAUGGGAAAAAUGGGGAAGGCAAAUAAUCUGUUUUCCACAAUGAGAAGCAACGGUUUAUGCCCCAAUUUGCCUACAUAUAAUAUUCUGUUGCACGGAUAUUCUAAGAAAAAAGAUAUACAGAUGUGCUCUGUUCUUUUUAAACUCAUGAUCAGCAGUGGCCUUUUGCCUGAUAGAGUAACAUCCCAUUGUCUCAUUCUUGGAUUUUGCAAGUCAGGCAUGUUGGAUGUAGGUAUUGAAAUCUUGAAAAAGAUGAUAUCUAGAGGGGUUGAAGUUGAUCGAUUUACAUUUAACAUGCUUAUCAGCAAGUGCUCUGAAAGUGGUGAGACAGGAAAGGCCUUUAAUCUGGUUGAUAUUAUGAACUUGUUGGGAAUAAUUCCUGAUGCAGAGACCUAUAAUGCCAUCAUUAAUGUGCUCAACAGAAAUCUUGCUCUCCAAGAAUCUCGUAUUGUUUUGCACGAAUUGGCUCAGAAGGGUUUCCUUCCCAAGGGUAAACAAUAUAUUACAUUGAUUAAUGCUAUGUGUAGAGUUGGGAAUUUGAAAACAGCAUUCGAUCUGAAGGAUGAAAUGGCAUCACUUGGUAUCACUUCAUGUGAUGUUGCUGAGAGUGCUAUUGUUCGAGGACUCGCCCUAUGUGGGAAGGUUGAAGAAGCAAUGUUGGUUCUCGAUAACAUGCUCCGGAUGCGACUUGUUCCAACUGUUGCGACAUUUACAACAGUUAUGCACAUGUUCUGCAAAGGAAGUAAAAUUGCCGAGGCUCUAAAGUUAAGGAAUAAAAUGAAACUUUGUGGUCUGAAGCUUGAUGUUGUUGCUUACAAUGUCAUCAUUUCAGGCCUUUGUGCUGAUGGGGAUGUAGCUGCCGCUUUCGAACAUUAUCAAGAGAUGAAACAAUAUAGUCUGUGGCCCAAUGCCACUACUUAUACUGUUCUAGUUAAUGCCAUUCUCACUGAGGGGAGUAGCCCCUUUACCGGUGAUGUGCUUUUGAAGGACUUAAAGGGGAGGGGAAUCAUAUCAUGUGAUUGGGAUGGAAGUGCCGAGCAGAUUCACAGGGCAUUGAUGAUUGCCAUGAAAAGGUUGAAGUACUUGCAGCAAAAUAAGAGAAAAUAGUAUUGAAAAAAAAUUAGGAAUGCAAUGCAAUGUGGUUGUGACAAAAAUCUAGACCCUUUUUUUCUGGAGGUCUGCUUACUGAUGAAUGUCAAAUGGAACUCCUGCUACUCAACCAGUCAUGACACUCUGACUUGGUCCAAUUCAUUUUCCUUCCUUUUUGGAUAUCAUGGAACCGCAAAGCAUGGUAUUCAGAGGUAGACAGCGAUUUACUUCUAUGUGUCAAAAUAGGACUGCAACCUAUGGAGAUACAUCAUGUAAAAGACUUACAAUUUUAAGUCAUUCCCGGUAUUGCCAACAUGAGUUGCUGUGUAACUGUGUGUAAAGGGUACGGGGCACGGACCACGGUAAAAGAGGCAAAGAACAAAUUUUCAGCAGCUGGUAGCCAUUUGUCUCAAGGUGCCUCAAGCUGUACAGACACGAUUUAAAUUUUCCCAUUUAAAAAUAUUUUAAAAGGAAAAAUUCCUGUUUUUGGAUUGUUCUGCCAUCUGAUUUCUGGAGAUGCACCCCUUGUUUUUCGUCUUGUUCAUUCAGGACCUAACCAAUCAGAUAGAGUUUAUUGAUUUAGCUUUGUUCCUCAUCAAGAAGAGUGCUGGGAACAUAUUUAGAAGAUAGAACUGUGUCCUUGCUGUAUCCGUGGAAAGGUAAAACUUCACAGCUCGUCACGUGCUACAUACGCCUCGGGAAGAUCAUGAACUUCCAGCAAGUACUCCGCAAAUCAAGGUGUCGUAAGCGAAAGCUUAUCCUAAAACUUCAUCUAUAUGGUUCUUACCCUUGGAAAUCUUUCUUCAUCAACACAAUGCUCUGUCAUGAUUUUUCCGGAGAACAAGGAUUCCUUAUGGCUAGCAGCUCAAUAAAGAUGGUGGGGGGCGAAAAAACAGCUCCCUCAAUGCAUGAUGAAGCUGCUCGUUUAGCGAGCCUAAUCAAUCCAUGCUUGGUGAGUUCUGUCAGUAAAUUUUGUUGAUUGGGGUACCCUUUCUUUAGAUUUCCCAUGUUACAAAAAUGUUGUGUACUGCUCUUGGCAUGGCAGACAGAAUCUAGCAACAUGAACAAGGAUAUGCUCCACUGUAAUUGACUUUGUAAUAGUUUAUUGGUUGCUGUAAUAUAUGUAGUUUUCUUGAA